AGCAGCCGCGGUAAUUCCAGCUCCAAUAGCGUAUAUUAAAGUUGUUGCAGUUAAAAAGCUCGUAGUUGAAUUUCGGGGUUAGUAGGUUGGUCGUGCCUCUGGUAUGUACUCGCCUUACUGAUUCCUCCUUCUUGAAGAACUGUAAUGCCAUUAAUUUGGUGUUGCAGGGAAACAGGACUGUUACUUUGAAAAAAUUAGAGUGUUUAAAGCAGGCCAUUGCCUGAAUACAUUAGCAUGGAAUAAUGAAAUAGGACGUUGAUCCUAUUUUGUUGGUUUCUAGGAUUGACGUAAUGAUUAAUAGGGAUAGUUGGGGGCAUUAGUAUUCAAUUGUCAGAGGUGAAAUUCUUGGAUUUAUUGAAGACUAACUACUGCGAAAGCAUUUGCCAAGGAUGUUUUCAUUAAUCAAGAACGAAAGUUAGGGGAUCGAAGACGAUCAGAUACCGUCGUAGUCUUAACCAUAAACUAUGCCGACUAGGGAUCGGAUGAUGUUAAUUUUUAAUGACUCAUUCGGCGCCUUACG
rnacentral:rRNA from 1 species